AACGAACGCUGGCGGCAGGCCUAACACAUGCAAGUCGAACGCACCGCAAGGUGAGUGGCGCACGGGUGAGUAACACGUGGGAAUGUACCCUUUGGUUCGGAAUAACGUUUGGAAACGAACGCUAAUACCGGAUGAGCCCUACGGGGGAAAGAUUUAUCGCCAAAGGAGCAGCCCGCGUCUGAUUAGGUAGUGGGUGGGGUAAAGGCCUACCAAGCCGACGAUCAGUAGCUGGUCUGAGAGGAUGAUCAGCCACACUGGGACUGAGACACGGCCCAGACUCCUACGGGAGGCAGCAGUGGGGAAUAUUGGACAAUGGGCGCAAGCCUGAUCCAGCCAUGCCGCGUGAGUGAUGAAGGCCUUCGGGUUGUAAAGCUCUUUCGCACACGACGAUGAUGACGGUAGUGUGAGAAGAAGCCCCGGCUAACUUCGUGCCAGCCGCCGCAGUAA
rnacentral:rRNA from 1 species